rnacentral:rRNA from 1 species
ACGUCUCAGUUCGGACUGUGGUCUGCAACUCGACCACACGAAGCUGGAAUCGCUAGUAAUGCGAAUCAGAAUGCCGCGGUGAAUACGUUCCCGGGCCUUGUACACACCGCCCGUCAAGCCAUGGAAGCCGGGAGUGCCUGAAGUGUGCAACCGCAAGGAGCGCCCUAAGGUAAAACUGGUGACUGGGGGCUAAGUCGUAACAAGGUACC